AGAGUUUGAUCCUGGCUCAGAACGAACGCUGGCGGCAGGCUUAACACAUGCAAGUCGAACGGUUGUAGCAAUACAAUAGUGGCGCACGGGUGAGUAACACGUGGGAAUCUCCCUUUCAGUACGGGAUAACGUCGGGAAACUGACGCUAAUACCGUAUACACCUCCGGGUGAAAGAUUUAUCGCUGAAAGAUGAGCCCGCGUCAGAUUAGCUAGUUGGUGGGGUAAUGGCCUACCAAGGCUCCGAUCUGUAGCUGGUCUUAGAGGACGAUCAGCCACACUGGAACUGAGACACGGUCCAGACUCCUACGGGAGGCAGCAGUGGGGAAUAUUGGACGAUGGGGGAAACCCUGAUCCAGCCAUGCCGCGUGAGUGAUGAAGGCCUUCGGGUUGUAAAGCUCAUUUGUCAGGGACGAUAAUGACGGUACCUGAAGAAUAAGCCCCGGCUAACUUCGUGCCAGCAGCCGCGGUAAUACGAAGGGGGCUAGCGUUGUUCGGAAUUACUGGGCGUAAAGGGCGCGUAGGCGGUUCUUUAAGUCAGAAGUGAAAGCCCUGGGCUCAACCCGGGAAUUGCUUUUGAAACUACAGAACUUGAGUAUAGGAGAGGUGAGUGGAAUUCCCAGUGUAGAGGUAAAAUUCGUAGAUAUUGGGAGGAACACCAGUGGCGAAGGCGGCUCACUGGCCUAUUACUGACGCUGAGGCGCGAAAGCGUGGGGAGCAAACAGGAUUAGAUACCCUGGUAGUCCACGCCUUAAACGAUGAAUGCUAGUUGUUGGAAAGUUUAACUUUUCAGUGACGACGCUAACGCAUUAAGCAUUCCGCCUGGGGAGUACGGCCGCAAGGUUGAAACUCAAAGGAAUUGACGGGGGCCCGCACAAGCGGUGGAGUAUGUGGUUUAAUUCGACGCAACGCGAAGAACCUUACCAGGCCUUGACAUGUCUAGUAUGGGAUCAGGAGACUGUUCCCUUCAGUUCGGCUGGCUAGAACACAGGUGCUGCAUGGCUGUCGUCAGCUCGUGUCGUGAGAUGUUGGGUUAAGUCCCGCAACGAGCGCAACCCUUAUUUUCAGUUGCUACCAGGUUAUGCUGGGCACUCUGAAGAAACUGCCGGUGACAAGCCGGAGGAAGGCGGGGAUGACGUCAAGUCCUCAUGGCCCUUACGGCCUGGGCUACACACGUACUACAAUGGUGGUGACAGUGGGAUGCCAAAGCGCAAGCUGGAGCGAACCCCCAAAAGCCACCUCAGUUCAGAUUGCACUCUGCAACUCGAGUGCAUGAAGUUGGAAUCGCUAGUAAUCGCAGAUCAGCACGCUGCGGUGAAUACUGUUCCCGGGCCUUGUACACACCGCCCGUCACGCCAUGGGAGUUGGUUCUACCUGAAGCUGGUGCGCGAACCGCAAGGACGCAGCCAACCACGGUAGGGUCAAUGACUGGGUCGAAGUCGUAACAAGGUAGCCGUAUCGGAAGGUGCGGCUGGAUCACCUCCUU
rnacentral:rRNA from 1 species